GAUGAACGCUGGCGGCGUGCUUAACACAUGCAAGUCGAACGAAGCACUUUAUUUGAUUUCCUUCGGGACUGAUUAUUUUGUGACUGAGUGGCGGACGGGUGAGUAACGCGUGGGUAACCUGCCUUGUACAGGGGGAUAACAGUUGGAAACGGCUGCUAAUACCGCAUAAGCGCACAGCAUCGCAUGAUGCAGUGUGAAAAACUCCGGUGGUAUAAGAUGGACCCGCGUUGGAUUAGCUAGUUGGUGAGGUAACGGCCCACCAAGGCGACGAUCCAUAGCCGCCCGGAGGGGGACACCGCCCACAGUGGGACGGGACCCGGCCCCAACCUCCUGGGGGAGAAGGGGGGGGGAAAUAUCGAACAAGGGGGAAAGGCUUAAGGCGGCGCCCCGGGGGGAGAGAAAAGUUUUUCGGGUAUAAAAAGCUCUAGAAGAAGGGAAAAUAAUGGGGCUCCAUAAAAAAGAAACCCCGAAAAAAUAG
rnacentral:rRNA from 1 species